CCCUUAGAUGUUCUGGGCCGCACGCGCGCUACACUGAUGCAUUCAACGAGUCUAAAACCUGCUCUGAUAGGGGUGGGUAAUCUUUUGAAUGUGCAUCGUGAUUGGGAUAGAUGAUUGCAAUUUUUCAUCUUCAACGAGGAAUGCCUAGUAAACGCAAGUCAUCAGCUUGCAUUGAUUACGUCCCUGCCCUUUGUACACACCGCCCGUCGCUCCUACCGAUUGAAUGAUCCGAUGAAUAUCAUGGAUUGAGGAUGCAAGCAGGUUCGCCUGUCUUCAUCUUCGAGAAGUGAAGUAAAUCUUAUCAUUUAGAGGAAGGAAAAGUCGUAACA
rnacentral:rRNA from 1 species